rnacentral:rRNA from 1 species
UAGGGAAUCUUCGGCAAUGGGGGGAACCCUGACCGAGCAACGCCGCGUGAGUGAAGAAGGUUUUCGGAUCGUAAAGCUCUGUUGUUAAGGAAGAACGAGUGUGAGAAUGGAAAGUUCAUACUGUGACGGUACUUAACCAGAAAGGGACGGCUAACUACGUGCCAGCAGCCGCGGUAAUACGUAGGUCCCGAGCGUUGUCCGGAUUUAUUGGGCGUAAAGCGAGCGCAGGCGGUUAGAUAAGUCUGAAGUUAAAGGCAGUGGCUCAACCAUUGUAGGCUUUGGAAACUGUUUAACUUGAGUGCAGAAGGGGAGAGUGGAAUUCCAUGUGUAGCGGUGAAAUGCGUAGAUAUAUGGAGGAACACCGGUGGCGAAAGCGGCUCUCUGGUCUGUAACUGACGCUGAGGCUCGAUAGCGUGGGGAGCGAACAGG